CACACUGCCGAGAAAAGCCUCUAGAUAGAAAAUAGGUGCCCGUACCGCAAACCGACACAGGUAGUCAAGAUGAGAAUUCUAAGGUGAGCGAGCGAACUCUCGUUAAGGAACUCGGCAAAAUGACCCCGUAACUUCGGGAGAAGGGGUGCUCUUUAGGGUUAACGCCCAGAAGAGCCGCAGUGAAUAGGCCCAAGCGACUGUUUAUCAAAAACACAGGUCUCUGCUAAACCGUAAGGUGAUGUAUAGGGGCUGACGCCUGCCCGGUGCUGGAAGGUUAAGAGGAGUGGUUAGCUUCUGCGAAGCUACGAAUCGAAGCCCCAGUAAACGGCGGCCGUAACUAUAACGGUCCUAAGGUAGCGAAAUUCCUUGUCGGGUAAGUUCCGACCCGCACGAAAGGCGUAACGAUUUGGGCACUGUCUCAACGAGAGACUCGGUGAAAUCAUAGUACCUGUGAAGAUGCAGGUUACCCGCGACAGGACGGAAAGACCCCGUGGAGCUUUACUGUAGCCUGAUAUUGAAAUUCGGCACAGCUUGUACAGGAU
rnacentral:rRNA from 1 species